rnacentral:rRNA from 1 species
UACAGAGGUCCCAAGCGUUGUUCGGAAUUAUUGGGCGUAAAGGGUGCGUAGGCGGUAGGAUAAGUUAGAUGUGAAAUGUCGGCGCUUAACGUCGAACCUGCAUUUAAGACUGUCCUGCUUGAGCGCUAGAGAGGAGUCUGGAAUUUACGGUGUAGCAGUGAAAUGCGUAGAUAUCGUAAGGAAGGCCAGUGGCGAAAGCGAGACUCUGGCUAGAUGCUGACGCUGAGGCACGAAAGCUGGGGGAGCAAACGGG